rnacentral:lncRNA from 1 species
CACGUUACAAAAAUAAAACCAUUCAAUCAAAACCAUUUGCAAAAGCAGGUAAAAGAAAUAAAAUAAAACCAGAAAAAGGACCAGAAAGAAACCCCUCCUUGGCGAGCAGUUAAGGGAGAAGCUGGAAGCAACAGUAAGAAAGGGAAAAGCACGGCUUCAGAGUAGUUUCAGUUGGAUUUUCUGGUGAGAUUCUCGCACCCUUGUUCUUUUCUCUUCUUUCCUUAUUGUUCUGUUAUUUCUGAAGCUGUAAUAAAUCUGCUAUUUCUAAGAAUAAAUAUUAAGCUAUUGUUCAGAAGUGCAUAACUAGGAAACUACCAAAUUAAUGCAUUAAAUAGUUAAUCGAAUUAUAUCUUUGGUUGUUAUCUAAAUUGAUGUCUUAACGGUUAGAAUGUGUAUUAUAUAUAUAUGAAAUGUGACAUUAUAAGAUGAAUUAAUAAGUUAUUAGAAUUUAAAUUGAUAGUAUAGAAAUGUUAUAUAUGGAGAUAUAUAGUCGAAUGAUGAGAUUGAAGUUGAAUAAUGUUUGUUAAUGUAUGGAGUUAAAUAAAAUCUCGUGUUUACAUGCUAGGUAAGUUUGUAGUCUUGAAACUCAAACGUCAUUUACUUAAUUUAAUUAGUUAAUUGUUAAUUAUUAUUUAAGUAUGUUUUUAUUUGUAUUUGGUUAAGCUCUAUUGAAUGGAUAUUGACAAAAUCAUAAAUAGAUAGAAUGUGGCAUUAUGUUACAAAAUUAAUGUAUGAUUAGUAGAUAAUUCCAAUGGAAGUGCCAUUAAAUUAUGAAAUUUGAUAUUGAGUUAUGAAAAGUAAAAAUUAUGGACUUGCAAAAGAAUAAUUGACAUCGUCGAUUCGUUCGGCUAGUGCUGGGCUCAAAUAUCAUUGGUUUAUCCAACUAGAGCAGGGCACACUAAUUAUUCGUCGGUUUAUCUGACUAGCGCUGGGCGUAACUUUCGUUCAGUUUAAUUUUAGUUUAUAUUUAAGUGAAAUAUAUGAACCUAAUUGCAUAAUAUUAGAUUAUAUUGAUGUGUGCAAUUGAAAACAAAAAUAACAAAUUGAUAUUACGUCGAUCAUUGAUUGAGAAACUUGGAGCCAUUACUGCAAAUUAGUUUUGCAAGUUAAUUAAUAUGAACUCAAUUAUGUUUCUAUGUGUUUAUGAAUAUUAAAUUUUAAAUGAUGUAAAAUUGUUGAUAUUAAAUUGAUUAUUGAUAGAACAGGAAUUGUAAAAAGUUACAAAAAUGAUAAUUUCUGAUAUCAGUGGAGACAGGUUGCAUUCGCACGUAAGACCAUAGCGAGGCUAUGACAAAUAUUCAAACGUAAGACCAUGGUUGGACCAUGGCAGUGUUUAUAUGUAAGACCACAUAUUCAAUCGUCUGCACAAUAUUCAUCAAUUAUAGAAAAGGGAUGGUUUCGACCAUCGUUUAGCACACUUUGUGUAACAGCCCGAUUUUGACCCAAAUCGGAACAAUGGUUUCGGGACCACACAUCCGAGUCUGAAAAGUCUUUUAAUAUUUUUUUCUGUUUUUAUUAUGUGUGAAUUUAUAUGUGUGAAAGUUUCGUGAAUUAAUUUUAUUGUUUGAGUGCUUAAUUUGAGAAUAGGGCUUAAUCGCAUAAAAUAAAAAAAUUAGUGGUUAAUUAUGAAAGAGCCUAAUUGUUGUUGUCUUUGUAUUUUGGAGGUUCUAUGAUGCAAUUAGUCCACUAUAUAAUUUAGUGGAUGGUAAUGGUCAAGAAUGACCUUAUAUUAUAUGUUAUAUAUAUAUAUUAGUAAAGGUUAAAUUAGUAAAAUAAUAAUAAGUUAGUAUAAUGAUAACUAAAUAAAACCAAAGCAUGUAAAUGGCCAUUAUCAUCUUUGUUCUUGCCGAAAAUACAAAGAAAAAGAAAAGAGAAAAAGGGUUCUAGGGUUCGACACAUGCAUUGGCUAAUUAGGUAUAUGUUUUUGAUUUAUUUUAGAUAAUUUUUAUAUUUUUGUGAUUGUUGUUUAGCACUCUAUCUAGCCCAUGCCUCAAUUUUGAAAUUUGAUGAUGAUUUUGAGUUAAGCUAUUGAUGCUUUUGUAGGUUUUGUGAUGAUAAUUGAUGAAAAAUAAAAUAUAUUUGUUAGAUUGACAUGUUUUGUUUUUGAAUUUUUGGUGAAAUUGAGUAAUUAGGAUUAAAUUGUGAAAAUAAAUUUUUGAGAGACUAAAAUGCUAAAUAAAUGAAAAAUAUGGACUUGUAUGGACACUAGGAAAAUUCGACACUUAAGGAGUGUAGUCAAAUUUUGUGUAUUUUGUGUUUUGAGGAAAAAGGAUUAAAUUGUAAAAAGUGUGAAAUGUUAGGGGCAAAAUUGUAAUUUUCCCAUUCAUGUGUUUUUAGGCUAAAUUAAAUAGAAUGGUGUUUAAAUAAGAAUAAUUUGAAUAUGUUUAGAUCAAGAAUUAGAGAAAUCAUAUUUUGAUCGGGGAAAGACAAAAGUGGUUGAGUAGCCGAUUUAGAACUCGACAACAUCCGAGGUAAGUCUGUAAGCGUUUAAAUGUUGAUAUAAUUAUAAAAUUGUAAUUUUUAUUUACCGAAUUGAAUUUUUGGGAAUAAUUUGGGCUAUGGCCGAAUAUGGUAUUAUGAUGUGGCUACUUUUCGAGUUUGAUUCGAACGAGAUCUGACGUCCGUAAGCCCCAUAUGAACCUUAGGAAUAGUUAGGAUACAUAUGUCAUGACAUAGGAUUUUCGAGGUGUGUUAUCGUGUAAGACCACGUUUGGGACGUUGGCAUCAACUUUUGUUUACGUGUGAGACCCUGUCUGGGACAGUGGCAUCGAUACGUGAUUACAAGUAAGACCACGUCUGGGAUGUUGGCAUUGUAAGAGUUUCCGACUAUCUGCGUAUCCUUUUUAAUUCCGAAUGGUUCAACGGGCAAUAUGAAAUAAAGUCCGUUCAUGGAAAGGUAUAAAAGUUUCAGGUAUGAAUUAGCCAUUUAAUUACAAGGGAAUAAGAUGAGUUAGUUAAUUGAAUUGGUAAAAGUUAUCAAUUUGAUUAUGUAUUACAAGCUAACCAUUUGUAUAUUGGAAUGUUUUGGGCUGUUGAUAUAUGAUAUAAAAUAUCUAUGUUUUGAGUACAGGUAUUCGGCUUGUGCAAGAUUUAUAUAUAAAAAAAUGGUUAUCAUUGUUUAGAUGUUAAAUGAUGCUACGUAAUUGAUAUUCGAUUAUAUUUACUUAAUGUUUUUGAGCAAAUAUUUAUACGUAAGAUUUUGCUUAUGACUUACUAAGCUCAAGAAGCUUACUUUGUGUGUGUAUUUUGCUUGUGUCUGUUUUAUAGAUUUUGGAGUCGCAUUACGAGCUCAGGGAUUGUCAGCAUAGUCUAUCACACUAUCGAUAUCUUUUCGGUACUUUGAUAAUUUUUUGAACUCGAUAUUAUGGCAUGUAUAGGCUUGCUUAUGUUUUUGGUUAGUUUUGGAAUAUGUAUAUAAAUGGUCAUGCGAAAAUGGUUCAUCUUAUUUUGAUCGAGUUUGGUGUUUAUGCAUAUGGUUUUAAUGGUCAUGUAAAUGGGGUUUAUAAUUUUGCAUAUUGAAUUAUGGUAUAAGUUUGUGAUAUAAUAAUAAAUGUGAUAUAUAUAUAGUUUGGAC